GGGUGUGUAAAAGCAAAUAUGCAUCAGACUGACAAAGAAAAGAGUGUUAAACGAUUUUUAAUUUAGAACUUUAACUUUAUGUGCAAAACUGAACUUACUGAUAACACACACUAGUCAUUCGAACACAUGUAACUGUAAUGAACCAAAUAAAACAGAAACAUGCAGGCAGCACUCAUUAUACCGUGUAUAACGCAGCAUGGGGUUGUAUUUUUUUCUUUUCAGAUGCUCCUGUCACUCCAUUUCCCAGGUCAUCAUAGCACUCCCACACACACGGAGCUCUCCUGCAGUAUGCAGUGUAAUGGCCCAAACCAUCAGUGGUCAUCUUUCCGUGGAAAGCAAUUAAUGCCCUCAAAGUGAACGACUUUCCUUGGAGAACCAGGUUGGAGGGAAAUUCGUUCAGUGGAAAUUCUGUUUGGUUUGCAAGAGAUGGAUUGGAGAGUGGCCUGAGGCAGGUAGACUCAGGUAGGCCAAGUCCUGCUUCCACAGCAGUGCCAAGAUGAGCCAUAUCAGACUCUUUGAGGACAGAGAUGGCAGGAGAAACAAAUGGCACUUCCCUUGUCAUCCCUUUGCUGAGGUAGCAGUGCUGUGAAGAGCAGUGUUUGGUAAAAUAAACACUUGAGAUGUUCCUCAUUGUCUUAGCAAUUACAGCGGAGACAUUGCACUGAGCAUCAAUUUGGAUCGCACCAGACCUCAACGAGACAGAUUCAAACAUUACACUAAGCAGCUCUGCUCUCCUCCUGUAGGUUUGUUGGGUCACACCAUCUGUGGCAAUGGCUUUCACCAGCUGCAGGACUGGGUUUUCACUGUCUUUCAGAACAGCAUUUUGAAAUGUUGAGCUGUCACAGAAGGCACAACAUAAGCACUGAAAAAAUGCAUCAAAAGCACAGUUUCAUCUGCAUGGAGCCAUUCGGUACAUGAAGAGAGGUAGGAAGUUCUCUUCCUUUUUUUGGGUGGAACAGCUAGGCCCCUCCCGUUCUCAACUGGAUCCCCAUCAGCCGGAAGAAUGUUUGUGGCAGCAUCAGAUCCCACAAACGGAACAAAUCCGCAUAUUUCCCUCGAUGAAGGAAAGAUGACGAGCAAUGAAGCGAUCGACUCGAACAGGCAAGUUUUCAUGUUUGAAAAGUCCGUGUUUUAUGUUUUUGAACUCAGCUUCAACAGUGGCUGAACUUGCUGUGAUGCUGGUGCUUUGGAAGAGAGGGACCAUUAUUCCUGUCCAGAGUGGCAAGUAACUUGCCAGUCUUAUU